UACGGAGGGGGCGAGCGUUAUUCGGAAUUAUUGGGCGUAAAGGGCGCGUAGGCGGCUGUACAAGUCAAAGGAGAAAUCCCUCGGCUCAACUGAGGAACUGCCUUUGAAACUGUACGGCUUGAGGCCGGGAGGGGGUAGCGGAAUUCCCAGUGUAGCGGUGAAAUGCGUAGAUACUGGGAGGAACACCAGUGGCGAAGGCGGAUACCUGGACCGGUUCUGACGCUGAGGCGCGGAAGCGUGGGUAGCAAACAGG
rnacentral:rRNA from 1 species